rnacentral:lncRNA from 10 species
GUGAUGCCACCUGCCUAACAGGCCACACUGCCUCCAUGCCCUUUCCUGGCUCCGGGGCACCCUUUACGGCCCUCCCCUUGCUUCCUUAGGCCCCAGAGAUCAUUUCCAUGCAAUGCUGGAAGAGGUCCUGAGUGCACAUACAGUUCCCAGAAUCUGUCCUCUGCCCCCUCCACUAACAGAAAAUAGGAUUUUUUUUGAGACAGACUCUCCCUCUGUUGCACAGUCUGGAGUGCAGUGGCGUCAUCUCGGCUCACUGCGACCUCAGCCUCCCGAGUUCAAGCAAUUCUUAUGCCUCAGCCUCCGGAGUAGCUGAGAUUACAGGUGCCUGCCACCAUGCCUGGCUAAUUUUUGUAUUUUUAGUAGAAACAGGGUUUCACCAUGUUGUCCAGGCUGGUCUUGAACUCCUGACCUCCGGUGAUCCACCCACCUCAGCCUCCCAAAGGGCUGGGAUUACAGGUUUGAGCCACCACAACUGGCCAGAAAAUAUGAUUUUUAAUCAUAGUAUUUUACAGUGCCUGCAUUAACAGUGUACAGGGUGCUUUCAUAAGGGCUGCCAUGGAAUUCUCCGAAAACGACCUGGGAAGCUUUAUGACAUGAAAAUGCCCAUUUGACAGAGGCGGGAACCGAGGCUUGCAGUGAUGAAGGGACUGGGAGCGCAGAGGCCAGAGGUGUGGCAAUGCCAGGGCAAGGCUUCCCCUGAGCCCCUGGCAUGUGCACCUUACUGCCUACUGGAUGCCGACUCUUCCCAGAAUCCAAAAGCUCACAGAAUCUUCCCCAAGUGCAUCGGCCCAGAGCAUCCAAGGUGAAGCCAUUAUCUUCUCAUCCAAAUCUGAAACCACUGGUGACCUGGACAAAAUUGGACCAAGUGAGGCCCAUGACCACCUGGCAGGAGGGCAGGUGCGGGCGAGAUGGGUUUCCAGCUGUCCAUGUAUGUGCUUGCCCUGUUUUUUGUUUUUUUUUUUUGUUUGUUUGUUUUUGUUUUUUGAGACAUGGUCUGGAUCUAUAGGCUAGGCUGGAAUGCAGUGGGGCGAUCUCGGCUCACUUCAACCUCCACCUCCUGGGCUGAAAUGAUCCUCCCACCUCAGCCUCCCAAGUAGCUGGGACUACAGGCGUAUGCCACCAUGUCUGGCUAAUUUUUGUAUUUUUUUUGUAGAGACGGGGCUUUGCUAUGUUGCCCAGGCUUGUCUCAAACUACCGAUCUCAAGUGAUCCUCCUGCCUCGGCCUCCCAAAGUGCUGGGAUUACAGGCAUGAGCCACCAUGCCCAGCUGCCCUGACUGUUAUGACCAGGAGAGGACAUCUGCUGGAGACCGGCCGAGGUGAAGUCUUUGACCAUGGCCAAAAGUGAAAGCCACAGCCCACUCUUGGUCUCUCCCCCUGGGCUGGCCACCUGCAGGGACCGUGUGGCACUGGGCUCCCUCUGUGCAUGAAGGGCUGUGCUCCUUGGUCCCUGGAGGGAGUGGCGGCCGUGUGGUGUGCCUUGGCGAUGAAAUGUGAAUACAGCAAUGCUGGCCACAUCCUCUAGGGAGCAUUGAAUGCUUGCGUGACACUCACCAAGGUCGUGGAGGCCCAGUCAUGCCCCAGAGGUCACCCAGAGCCUGGUGCCCCUUACAGGAGCCAGAAAUAAACCUGUGCUGUUUUCCAUCCUUUGACUUUCAGCAUUUCUGUGAUAUCAUAAGGAGCAUAUAGUUUGAUUAAAAAAAAUCGAGUCUGAAAAUCUUCAUCUUUGAAUUGGAGUAUUCAGUCCAAUUUUCGCCAUAUUAGUCCAACCUUUAACACUUGUUAUAUAUUGUUUA